rnacentral:lncRNA from 1 species
UUUUGUCGUACAUGACCUCUAAACCCAGCAAUUGACUUUUACGUCUUAUCACAAUCUGGACACUGAUAACAGGGUGUGUUCAGUUGGCUAGGCUGACAUGGUGUUAUUGCAAUUGUAGACUUUUUGGCAGCUAAAGGUUCAAACUCUUCAUCUGAAAAACUCAGCAGUGUCAGACUCUGUUUAGCAUUCUAGUAAACCAUCAAAGUCCAUAUCAUCAGACCGAGAAGAGAAGUUCU